rnacentral:rRNA from 1 species
CCCUUAGAUGUUCUGGGCCGCACGCGCGCUACACUGAUGAAUGCAACGAGCUCUACCCUUGACCGAAAGGCCCGGGUAAACUUGUGAAACUUCAUCGUGAUGGGGAUAGAUUAUUGCAAUUAUUAAUCUUCAACGAGGAAUUCCUAGUAAGCGCGAGUCAUCAGCUCGCGUUGAUUACGUCCCUGCCCUUUGUACACACCGCCCGUCGCUCCUACCGAUUGAAUGGUCCGGUGAAAUCUUCGGAUUGCUGACCAAGAUCCAGCAAUGGAGUUUGGUUGCGAGAAGUUGAUUAAACCUUAUUAUUUAGAGGAAGGAGAAGUCGUAACA